rnacentral:rRNA from 1 species
AGCAGCCGCGGUAAUUCCAGCUCCAAUAGCGUAUAUUAAAGUUGUUGCAGUUAAAAAGCUCGUAGUUGAAUUUCGGGGUUAGUAGGUUGGUCAUGCCUCUGGUAUGUACUGGUCUCACUGAUUCCUCCUUCCAGAUGAGCCGUAAUGCCAUUAAUUUGGUGUUGCGGGGAAUUUGGACUGUUACUUUGAAAAAAUUAGAGUGUUUAAAGCAAGCUAACGCUUGAAUACAUUAGCAUGGAAUAAUGAAAUAGGACGUUCGAUCCUAUUUUGUUGGUUUCUAGGAUUGACGUAAUGAUUAAUAGGGAUAGUUGGGGGCAUUAGUAUUCAAUUGUCAGAGGUGAAAUUCUUGGAUUUAUUGAAGACUAACUACUGCGAAAGCAUUUGCCAAGGAUGUUUUCAUUAAUCAAGAACGAAAGUUAGGGGAUCGAAGACGAUCAGAUACCGUCGUAGUCUUAACCAUAAACUAUGCCGACUAGGGAUCGGAUGAUGUUAAUUUUUUAAUGACUCA